CGCUACGGAAACGGCAAAGCUAGAGGAUGUGAGAGGUCAAGGGAACCCAUAGUGUAGGGGUGAAAUCCGUUGAUAUUAUGGGGAACACCGAAAGCGAAGGCACUUGACUGGCACAUUCCUGACGCUCAGGGACGACAGCCAGGGUAGCGAACGGGAUUAGAUACCCCGGUAGUCCUGGCCGUAAACGCUGUUCACUAGCUUUUCGGGGCAUCGACCCCCUGAGAGGCGUAGCUAACGCGCUAAGUGAACCGCCUGGGUAGUACGAGCGCAAGCUUAAAACUCAAAGGAAUAGACGGGGGCUCGCACAAGCGGUGGAGCAUGCGGUUUAAUUCGACGAUAAGCGAAGAACCUCACCAAGGCUUGACACCCAUCUGACAGGUCCGAGAAACCGGACCCUCCUUCGGGCAGAUGGGCAGGUGAUGCAUGGCCGUCGUCAGUUCGUGGCUUGAGCUGUUCCCUUAAGUGGGGAAACGAACGCAACCCUCACCGUAUGUUAUAUGUGUCAUACGGUACUGCCUACCACUGAGCGCAUUUUCAUUUUGAAAAUGCGCGGAUUAAGGAGAAAAGAUCAAGGUUAAAAGAUUUUUUCUUUCAUCCUUCUUCUUUAAUCUUUGAUCGCGCACAAAGUGCGCUUUGUGGUGGGAGGAAGGAGGGGAUGACGCCAGGUCAGCAUGUCCC
rnacentral:rRNA from 1 species